rnacentral:lncRNA from 1 species
UUCGACAAAAAUAACAUGAAAGACCUAUUUCGAUGGAGGAGUUUGAUAUCUUUGAUCGCUCUGACCUGCAUUAAUAUUUCUAUCUUGCAACGAUCCACGAUCUGAAGGUUGUGGAGUUGUAUUUGAUUGAGAUAAAACUGUUUUCUUCAGGUCUUCAAACAUAUCAAACAUUUCAUCAUAUUUCCUUUUUAAAAUUUGAUUAUUCUGUAAAACAUUUAAGAUUCAUUUAUAUUUAUGUAUUACUUUAAAAUUUUAUUGACUUUCAUACACAUACCUCCAUUAACUUUUCCAUUUGAUCGUUCAUUUUUUCUUUUCCUUUUUUUCUUUUUCUUUUUCUUUUUCGAUAGAUCUUGCAUUCAUUUCAAUUGAAAAUCUGGUAGAAGCAGUGUUCGACUCAGCAAAUGAUCCUCCACCAAGUCCAAUGUGCCUUCCUUUUUUGCUUUGAAUAAACUUAGAAAUGCAUUU